UACGUAGGGGUCUAGCGUUGUCCGGAAUUAUUGGGCGUAAAGAGCUCGUAGGCGGUCUGUCGCGUCUGCUGUGAAAACUCAGGGCUUAACCCUGAGCUUGCAGUGGGUACGGGCAAAACUAGAGUGCGGUAGGGGAGAUUGGAAUUCCUGGUGUAGCGGUGGAAUGCGCAGAUAUCAGGAGGAACACCGAUGGCGAAGGCAGAUCUCUGGGCCGUAACUGACGCUGGAGGAGCGAAAGCGUGGGGAGCGAACAGG
rnacentral:rRNA from 1 species